rnacentral:lncRNA from 1 species
CAAGAAUUUUAUUCAUGCAUAUGCUUAAUUUGCUGAAAAUAUGUGAGCCUCCCAUGAAAGAUUUAUACUUUUAUUGUGUCAUCUUCUGCUGAGAAGUGGCUGUCCUGCCAGAAAACUGCUAUUCUCAAUUGUCCUCACACUGACUCUGCUCAACAUAGUGACUGGAAGUGAUGUGUGCAUAAAAAGCAAAUGUGUCUUCUUUGCAUCUUUUUUCAUCUCUUACCUGUGUUUUGGGCCCAGAUAUACAUCACAAUUUGAAGUCUGGGCAGGAACCAGGAAGAAAAAUCAUAUCAUCUAGGUGUCCCCUGUGGGAGAGGUCCAGGUAGGAGAGUAACAUCUUCUUGGUGCUGAGCCAAGUGAAAUGUUCCAAUGCCCUCUGUGGGCAGGGCCCAGGCAGAAGAGUAGAGUCACAUCACCUAGAUGCUGAGUUCACCAACAUGUAAAAAUAUCCCCUUAGGGCAAGGCUCAUGCAGGAGUGUCACGUCAUCCAGGUGUUUGGUCCAGGCAUAUGUCAUAAUCCCUCCUGAAGGCAGC